rnacentral:rRNA from 1 species
CCUACGGGUGGCAGCAGUGGGGGAUAUUGCACAAUGGGGGGAACCCUGAUGCAGCGACGCCGCGUGGGUGAAGGAGCGUUUCGGCGCGUAAAGCCCUAUCGGCAGGGAGGAAGAUGACGGUACCUGACCAAGAAGCCCCGUCUCACUACGUGCCAGCAGACGCGGUAAUACGCAGGGGGCAAGCGUAAUCCGGAUUGAUUGGGUUUAAAGGGUGCGUAGGCGGUACGGAAAGUCAGCGGUAAAAGCGCGGGGCUCAACCCCGGCGAGCCGUUGAAACUGUCGGACUAGAGACGGCGAGAAGUACGCGGAAUGCGCGGUGUAGCGGUGAAAUGCAUAGAUAUCGCGCAGAACUCCGAUUGCGAAGGCAGCGUACCGGCGCCGGACUGACGCUGAGGCACGAAAGCGUGGGUAUCGAACAGGAUUAGAUACCCGGGUAGUC